CCUGCAUAUAUCAUGAAACACCCAUUAAUCAUUAAACGUAUUUUGAAUGCUCAUUUCACAGUAUCCUAUAAAAUCUGCAUGUUUGGAGAUAAAA